UUUUUUAUAAAAAUAAUUUAUUUAUUUAUGGUUUUAGUAUUAAUUAAAAAUUAAUUUAUAGAUUUAUAGUUUAAUAGUAUUGUGAAAGAAAUUAUUAAAUUUAAAAAAGAAUUUUAUUAGUACCUUUUGUAUCAGGGUUGAUUAAAAUUUCUAAUUUUUUUUUAAUUUCUCAAAAUUUAUAGAGUUAAUUUUAUUAUUAAUUUAUUGUGUUAUAAAUAUUUAAAAAAUAAUAUUAGUUUUGAAAUUUAAUUCGUUAUAUUAUAUUUAGUUAUUUAAGAUUUAAAUUUAAUUUAAAAUUUUAAAAGUUAUAUUAAUUUUAUUGAUUAAUAUUUUAAAUUUAAAUUAUUUUAGGGAUAAGCUUGAAAUUUUUAUAUAAUGAUUUAUUUAUUUUAAUAAUUUAUAGGAAUAGAAAUUUUUAUUUUAAGUUUGUAAAAAUUUAUUAUUUGUUUAAUUUUAAUUUAUUAUAUUUAUAUUUAUUUUUUUUAUUAAAUUUUAUUAAUUAAUAUUUAAUUAAUAGUAAUAAUGAUUAAAUUAGUAUAAUUUGUAUAUUUAUAAAUUAUGAAUUCGGCAAAAAUUAUUUUCAUCUGUUUAACAAAAACAUUGUAUUAAGUUUAAUUUAAUAUAGGAUCUGCUCAAUGAUUUAUUAAAUAGCUGCAGUAUUUUGACUGUGCAAAGGUAGCAUAAUAAUUAGUCUUUUAAUUGAGGACUUGAAUGAAAGAUUUGAUGAAAAAUAGACUUUAUUAUUUAUAAAAUUAAAAUUUUAUUUUUAAGUAAAAAAGCUUAAAUUAUUUAAAGGGACGAUAAGACCCUAUAAAACUUUAUAAAUUUAGAUUUUGAUUUUUUUGGAUUUAUAAAUAUUUUAUUAUUAAAAUUUAUUUUAUUGGGGUGAUAAAAAAAAUUUUUAAACCUUUUUUAAAGUUUUACAUUAUUUAAUGAAUUUUUGAAUUAAAAUUUUUAAUUAAAGGGAAAAGUUACCUUAGGGAUAACAGCGUAAUUAAUUUAUUAAGUUCAAAUUUAAAGAUUAGUUUGCGACCUCGAUGUUGAAUUAAGAUUAAUUUUAGGUGCAAAAUUUUAAAUAUUAGGUCUGUUCGACCUUUAAA
rnacentral:rRNA from 1 species